UACAGAGGUGGCAAGCGUUGUUCGGAAUUACUGGGCGUAAAGGGCGCGUAGGCGGUUCGUUAAGUCCUGUGUGAAAUCCCCCGGCUCAACUGGAGAACUGCACAGGAAACUAGCGGGCUUGAGUUCGGGAGAGGGAAGCGGAAUUCCGGGUGUAGCGGUGAAAUGCGUAGAUAUCCGGAGGAACACCGGUGGCGAAGGCGGCUUCCUGGACCGACACUGACGCUGAGGCGCGAAAGCUAGGGGAGCAAACGGG
rnacentral:rRNA from 1 species